AGGUUGUCCAUGAGCCUGUCGUUUCAGGAAGUGAAGUCACAUCUCCUAAAGAGCUCGUCCAUGAGCCUGUCGCUUCAGGAAGUGAAGUCACAUCUCUUAAAGAGGUAAUAAUGGUAAGAUCCCAGCAGGAAGCUAGAAGGCCAGGCAGUGGCAAUGAUGAGCCUUUGAAAAGGAGGAAACCAUGCCUGAAGUACCCAUCUGAAGGAACAAACACUUGUCAUAAAUGUCUCUCAAAACAAUGUCUCUGGCAGAGGAAAGGGUACGCUCAAAAAACCCUGGACAAAAGCUGAAGUGAGUGGUAAAUGGACUGCAUUUUAUAUAGCGCUUUUAACAGACCUAUGGCCAUCCAAAGCGCUUUACAAUUUGCCUCACAUUCACCCAUUCACUCUCUCAUUCAUACACCGACGGUGGUGUGAGCCAUGCAAGGGGCCAUCCAGCUCAUCAGGAGCAGCUGGGGUUAGAUGUCUUGCUCAAAGACACCUCGACACUUGAUCAGGUGGAGCCGGGGAUUAAACCACCAACCUUCCGGUUUGUAGACAACCUACAUGAACCACUGAGCCACUGCCGCCCCAGUGAACGCUGUAAUGUGACACUUCAGAUCUCACAUCAGCAAAGGUCACUUGGCGUCAGUGAGAGAAUGUGAGGUCUGUAAAAGAUGUGAGCAUCCAGUGCUACAAAAUAGGACAGAGCAAAAUCUCAGAGAGUUUGUUUGAAACCGAGGGCUUACCUUUAAGCGCAUGGAAAAGUGAGUCAAAAUGUUCAGAAUGUAAUGCUGUUGAUUUUAAAGUAACGUUUUGUAAUUGCCGUCAUUGAAGGAACACGCCAACAUUUUGGGAAUUUAGCUUAUUCACCGUAUUCCCCAGAGUUAAAUAAGUCCAUACAUAUUUUUCUGUGCCUGCUGUAACCCUGUCUGACGCAGCCCCUGCUAGCUUAGCUUAGCACAAAGACUGGAAGUGAAUGGCUCCAGCAAGCAUACUGCUCCCAAUACGUGACAAAAUAACACAAACAUUUUCCCAUUUAUGUGUUGUGAUUUGUACAGUCGCACCAUGUACAAAUAACAAGGUGAUAUGAGACACAGCCAUCUUUUAACGAAUACAUACUGGGAACUAUAUUCUCAGAAGGCGAAGCACUGCUACUUGGGCGUAGUGAUUUGCUCGCAGCCCCCGAGAAGCCCCCUGGUGAGGAGCAGAGAGUUCGGUCAGAGUUGUGCAAAUCACUCCGCCCAAGUAGCAGUGCUUCGUCUUCUGAGAAUAUAGUUCCCAGUAUGUAUACCAGGGCUCGAAAUUGCGACUGUUUUGGUCGCAUAUGCGACCAAAAUUUAAUCUGUGCAACCUUAAAAAAUAUUUGGGAGCAUUUUUGCGACUGCUUAUUUUGUUGUGGUGUGACUUGAUUUAGAUAGUGUAUGCUGUGUGCUGUUCCAGGUUCAGCGUUCUCUCCAGCAUUACAUAACCAAUCAAAUUUCACCAUUAAGUUUUUGCGUUUAAUGAAGAGCACAGAUUGGUUAAUAUGAAUGUCAAUCAUUCCUUGUUGCCGUGCUACGUUGGUACGCAAAGCGCGAAAAUGUGAAAAAACGAACCACGAGAAUGAAGAGAACGAGACGACUACAGCCAAUCUUACUACUGUAUUAAUGGAGGUUGCAGGUAAAACGGCGUUGGUGGCGGAAUCCACACAUUUUAAGCGCGAGACCUUGCUUGAACAUGGCGAAAGUGCCAAAAACACAAAAAGUGUCAUGACAAAUGUGUUCAUUAUUGAAGGAGACACUGACCUGUCUAUCAAAUCAAAUAGUGUUUGAUGAUGUAUGAGCGCAUCCUGCUUGAGGGACAUCCGACAAACAUCCUUUUGUAAUGUCACAAUUAAUCAGUGUUUUACGUGUUUGCUAGAUUUUUUAUUGUCAUCAUAAUUAUGUUACCUAUAAUUGUUUAAUUAUUAUUGCGGCUUUAUUAUUUAAACAGCAUUUGGGUACUAUUUUAGGAAUCUGCAAAAAAAAAAUUCAAAUCCUGGCCAUAGGAUGUGUAAAGCCCAGUUGUGUUUAUUUUUAAUAAAAUAAAUCUAUUAACUUAUACAUACUGUGGUGCUUCAAAAUUUGGUGCUUCUAACUCUUUAAAGUUGGGAGCAUCAGUGCUACCAAAUAAAAGGGUUAAUUUUGAGCCCUGUAUACUAGGGGUGUAACGGUACGCAAAAAUCAUGGUUCGUGUGUACCUCGGUUUUGAGGCCACGGUUCGGUUCAUUUUCGGUACAGUAAAGUAAAAUACAUUUAUGAACGAUUAGCCUACAUUUUUGCCACCAAAAAUGUUUCUGUUUUGAAUUAUUUAAGUCACAGUAUUGAAUUGGUUAUGUACCAUCUCUGUAUAAAAAUAAUAUUACUUCUCUAUGUGUAACUGCACAGCAAGCAACAUGAUGAUAUAGUUAUUAUACACUCAUAUUAAGAUGGGUGAGUUGCAUACAUAGCCUUCUUUUACCUUUUGCACGUUUCUCCUAAUCUUUGCUUGUGUUGCCAAUGUAAGCUGUGACUUGAACUAACGAACCCCUCCGCAGCUGAGUAACAGCUGAGUAAGCCCGGGUUACAGCUCUUCUCUGUCCCGACCAGCUGAUCACAUUGUGACAAUGAUAUGAUUGACGUGAGGUGCAGAUGAAAAAUCUGAUCACGCAUUCCGUUAUUCUCGCGUGUCACAGAAAGCGCGACUCAUGAUUGCGUAGCAACGAAAGAACAAAAAGAACAAAACAGCGCGUCAACACGCGUUUAACAUGCGCUUUUAGACGCGACACGUAAACGUUUACAUCAAUAAUCAAACGAAUAUACAACUAAGUAAAUAAAAAUCUUUCUGCGGGCCAAAUUAUGUUAUAUGUUUGACAGAAGACUUGCGCUGAACGCGGAGACUUCCGCCACUUAAUAUGUUCGUGUGGAAACGCACACAACAUAUUAUGUUCCACCUAUGUUCCGCACACAAAAGAUUGCAUUUGGCCCUUCGGUGCACACGUGCACCGUGCCGAAAGCACUGUACCGAAACGGUCCGGUACGAAUACACGUACCGUUACACCCCUACUGUAUACUGUUAAAAGAUGGCUGUCUCAUAUGACCUUGAUAUUUGUACACGGUGUGACUAUACAAAUCACGACACAUAAAUAGGAAAAUGUUCGCAUUAUUUUGUCACU